UGUCUUUUGGAUAUAUAAUUCCACAUGCAUUCGAGUUACUUGUGAUGGCCAAAACAGAUAAUAAAAAAAACAAUCUUGGUCAUUGGUGUCCCAAAAUGGCUGAAAACAAUAUAGUCAUUCGAUUUUCAGAAAUUAAAACCGAACAACUUUUAUAAGGAAAAGCCAAACAAACAACAUGCAAAACAAAAAGCAGAACCCAAAUUAAUAGCUAGAACUGGAGGAAAUUAGACAGACCAACGAACAAGCUCACUGCCCAAACUCUUCACUCCAAUGCAAGCAAAUAAACAUCUAGGCCAGCAAUAUAUAUCCCCAAAAUUCAACCAACAUAUAUCCCCUUCCUUCAAGAGUAUGUAGUCAAUAACUUAAAUCGUUCUGGAAUCUUUUGCAAUCUUGGACAGUGGUCUAUCUUUAGAUUCUUGAGCUUCAUCAUUGCGUUGCCCCUUCUUCCACUAUCAAUUCCUCCAAAGACAAUAAAGAUUGUAAAUGUAGAAUGUGCAACUGGGGAAACCCUUCCGAGGAGGAGCAAACCAGUUUUGUCCACGUGUAUGAAUCGGAUCCCAAGAGAAGCAUCUUUAGGUUUGGCAACCUCCCAAGCCUAACUAUUGAAUCUUCCUCGAGAUAGGAAGACCACAGAGUUAGCUUGACGAGGUUUGGUGGGAAUUGGAGUGGAUCAGGUAGCUUCUUUAUUUUCCCAUCCAAACUGGGCUUGUGGAGAUGCUCCCCUUUUAAAUUCUUUGAAAUAGAUCUCUCUCCUUUUUGUUCCAGGUUGCAGAUUUUGGCCUUGCACAUGCUUCGAAAGAUGGUUCUAUUUGCUUUGAAGUGGUAAACACGGAUAUCCGGGGCACUCCAGGUUAUAUGGAUCCUGAGUAUGUGGUUACCCAAGAGCUGACGGAGAAAAGUGAUGUGUACAGCUAUGGUGUGCUACUGUUGGAGAUAGUGACUGCGAGACGUGCAAUACAAGACAACAGGAAUUUGGUAGAAUGGUCGCAAAAAUACAUGGCAUCAGAGUUAAGGCUA